rnacentral:lncRNA from 8 species
CUGCACUAGAGUAAACUAAAGUACGGUAAACUGCACUACAGUUACUCUGUGUUUUGGGCCUCAUUUUUCCCAGUUUGCUGAGUGGUGUCUAGACUACAGAACCCACGGCUGCAACAUUCCAGACAGACCAAACUCUCUGUUAUGAAGGUAUGGCCCGGGGCUAUCCACUACUUGUCAGAACUGACCCAGCCCGAGUCUUCCUGCUUCCCAGCAUUUGAACUUUGACCUGGGCCUCUGGAGGCGUAGACUGUGACCUCAUCCCCCUCCCAUUCUGAACAUUGUGAGAGAUGAGCAGGGUUCUUAGAUGAGGGGGU